GAAUAUGAAGGUGAUCUGGCUGUGGCUUCUUUCAUUCCAUUAGUCAGCCAGAGCUGAUCUGCCUUUACCAGGCCAGCCAGCCCAGUGCCCUCUCCUCACAGCUGUUCAUGGGUCCCUUGCCAAGCUACCUGCUCAGUGAGUGAGGACAGCUUUUCCCUGAAAGGAAAGAACCCUUCUCAGUUGUAGCUCUAGGUGUCCGUACUUCACUGCUAGCUUCUCCAAAUAAACCCAAAUAACAGCUGUGUGGUUUUGUAAUAACCUAUGCUUCUUUUAAAAAGUGUUU
rnacentral:snRNA from 1 species